rnacentral:rRNA from 1 species
CACGUAGUUAGCCGGUCCUUAUUCCCCACUGACCGUCAACCCGGAGAACACCCCGGGCCUGCGUAAGUGGUAAAAGAGGUUUACAACCCGAAGGCCGUCAUCCCCCACGCGGCGUCGCUGCGUCAGGCUUUCGCCCAUUGCGCAAGAUUCCCCACUGCUGCCUCCCGCAGGAGUCUGGGCCGUGUCUCAGUCCCAGUGUGGCCGGUCACCCUCUCAGGCCGGCUACCCGUAAUCGCCUUGGUAGGCCGUUACCCCACCAACAAACUGAUAGGCCGCGAGCCCAUCCCCAACCGAAAAACUUUCCACCCUCCAGCAUGAGCCGGAGAGUCGUAUCCGGUAUUAGACGGCGUUUCCGCCGCUUAUCCCGGAGUCAGGGGCAGGUUGCUCACGUGUUACUCACCCGUUCGCCGCUCGUGUACCCCGAAGGGCCUUACCGCUCGACUUGCAUGUGUUAAGCACGCCGCCAGCGUUCGUCCUGAGCCAGGACUCGAAACUCU